GGGUCCGGAUUUCGGUAGAUUUCCGGAGGAUUCAGCGAAGAUGGUCGGGCCGCCAUCU
rnacentral:ncRNA from 2 species